GCGCCCGUAGCUCAAUUGGAAGAGCGGUGGCCUUCGGAGCCAUUGGCUGGGGGUUCGAGUCCUCCCGGGCGCACCA
rnacentral:tRNA from 1 species